AAGUUUCAACAACGGAUCAUCUUGGCUCUCGCAUCGAUGAAGAACGC
rnacentral:rRNA from 1 species